CGUCCAAAAAUCGGAAUUACUUGGUCCUGACAACUGGAUUAUUGCUCCGCACUGGAUGUGCUGCAGUGCGCAGACCUGAGGCGCAGAGACUGGAGGACGGACCGGAAACUCUCCCUCUUGUCCUGGAGAAACGUGGUGAGCAGUCGUGCUCGCUCUCACGUUUCAAGUGAACGAUGUCGCCUUCGAGAUUAAUCUUCAAUACGUAGAAGUGCUGGUGAAAAUGGCUAAUUCCAGCUAUGACUGGCACACCUGAUAAGGCCACCACUACAGACAGCCAAAUGAUGGUCUUCACUUUCAGGACCUUAAGCAUGCUUCAGAUUACAUGCUGUGGUGGCAGGAAAUGCACCUGAUGUAAUCCAGUUCUGAUCAGGAGAUAAGCAGAUGCUGUAAUGGAGCAAAACAUGGGUGUCAAUAUCAUCUCAUCCCUGGUUACAGAGCCAGUUAACUUAUCGGACAUCUAUAGGGAUACCUCAUUUGAAAGGCAAGUACGGAUCCCCAACCCCUGUCAACUUGUCAUAUCAAUAAUGUUACAUUGAUAUUGAGUUGACAUUUUAGCUGUUUGCACAGUAUCUGCAUAACUUUUUUAUAAUAUAUUUAUCCUGCUCCGGUUUGUCUCAUUUGAAUG